rnacentral:rRNA from 1 species
UAAGGAAUAUUGGUCAAUGGACGCAAGUCUGAACCAGCCAUGCCGCGUGGAGGAUGAAGGCCCUUUGGGUUUUAAACUUCUUUUAUAUGGGACGAAAAAGGGUCUUUCUAGAUCAACUGACGUUACCAUUUGAAUAAGCACCGGCUAACUCCGUCCCAGCAGCCGCGGUAAUACGGAGGUUGCAAGCGUUAUCCGGAUUCUCUGGGUUUAAAGGGUGCGUAGGUGGGUUUGUAAGUCAGUGGUGAAAUCUCCGAGCUUAACUUGGAAACUGCCAUUGAUACUAUCGGUCUUGAAUAUUGUGGAGGUCGGCGGAAUAUGGCAUGUAGCGGUGAAAUGCUUAGAAAUGACAUAGAACACCAAUUGCGAAGGCAGCUGGCUAAGCAGAUAUUGACACUGAGGCACGAAAGCGUGGGGAUCAAACA